CUUCCCUCUUCUCACCCCCUCUCACUGCUCCUCUCUCUCCGUGCUCUCCGUCCGGCGACCCACCGUCCGGCAAGCUGACCACCAUUCUUACCUUCCCUCUUCUCUUCUCGCCUCUCCUCUUCCCUUCGAACGCUUCUGCCCCCCCAGCUCUCGUCACUGCCACAGAGAGAAGCUGAAUCUCUCUGCCCUGCAUCGUUCCGCCGCGAGCUCAGCCGGCCACCACCAACUCUGGGCGGCACUACUUCUGCUUUUCUUCCCCUUUCCAUUUCCCAGUCUGUCUCUGCUACAUUCCAGGUCCCUGCCUCAUCCCUGCUUCUUGCUCUGUUUCUUUACUUUCUUUUAUUAAUUCUGUUGUUAUUUUUAGUUAGAUUGCGGAUUAAUUAUGUUUGUUAGGAUAGAUAGAUAUAUAUGCUGUUAGGUAGCUAGGUUGUGGUUAGAGAAUUCUAGGCCUGAUAAUUGCUCCGUUCUUGUUUAUCCAACAUGGCUUAAUACUGCUUGUUUGCUGAAUGAUGUUGGUGUGAUCAUUGCUGUGCUGUUUCUGUUUCAUGUGACCUGAUUCUACCUGCUGCCCUGCUGAAAUGUACUUGUGAAAUUAAGUUGAUGCUGCCUCUGUACAUGCAAUCCAUGCUUUUCUCAUGUUAAUUGCAAUUUUUGGAUUCAUGUGCUUAUAUUUUAUCUUAUUUAUUUAUUAGCUCUGAGGGAUAUUUCUUUACAUUUUGAUCAUUACCUCUUGAUGUGGGAGUUCUAGUGCAAGUGGGGUUUUCCCUUUUUUCUGGGAUUUUGAAGUGGAAGUGGGAGUUCGGGUGAUUUGGAUUAUACCCGAGAGAAGGGGCUGGUUGAUGCAGCUUUUGUUUAAAUAAUUAAAAGUUCAUUUAUGCUCAGUUUUGAAUAUGCUGCCUGAUCAGGGAAAAAAGUCAAUGACAAGCAAAAUGAAGCCAUCACAGCUGCAUCUAAUGAGUUGGCCAAAAGAAAAAGCGAUAUUGAAGAAAAUUUAAAACUUUCACAUGAUUUAAAAGUCUAGGCGCAGCAUGGAAUGUUGCUAAUGUGACAAAAGGAUCAACUGGGGUGAUAUUUGGUCUCGGAACUGUUGGCCUUUCUGUUGCACAAGGUGCAAAACUAAGGGGAGCAUCUCGAAUAAUUGGCGUGGAUAAGAAUCCACAUAAGUGUGAAAAAGCAAAAGCUUUUGGAUUUACAGAAGUUGUUGACGCGAGUUCCUACCAAGAACCUAUUGCUCAAGUUACUAUUCCUUUUUCAGUUAUACCAUCUGACAAGGGCUACUUAUUACAAGUAUCCAAAGCAAAAGUUUUCAUUCCAGUGGCUAAAUGGUGAUUUAUUUUCAAAAUUGUAGACAGGGGUAUUGCCUCUGUUUGUACCUUUUGCGCAAGCAUCUGCAGCUGUACUCACAGCUGUUCUUACUGGUUCUCUCUAUUAUGUGGCUGCCUCGCCCAAAGAUCCCACUUAUGUUGUGGCACCUGUUUUGCAAUCUC